rnacentral:rRNA from 1 species
UACGAAGGGGGCUAGCGUUGCUCGGAAUCACUGGGCGUAAAGCGCACGUAGGCGGCUUUCUAAGUCAGGGGUGAAAUCCUGGAGCUCAACUCCAGAACUGCCUUUGAUACUGGAGAGCUUGAGUCCGGAAGAGGUGAGUGGAACUCCGAGUGUAGAGGUGAAAUUCGUAGAUAUUCGGAAGAACACCAGUGGCGAAGGCGGCUCACUGGACCGGCAUUGACGCUGAGGUGCGAAAGCGUGGGGAGCAAACAGG